rnacentral:rRNA from 1 species
UGUGGAAGAAACCAACAGGGAUUGCCUCAGUAACGGCGAGUGAAGCGGCAACAGCUCAAAUUUGAAAUCUGGCAGCCUCCGGGCGGUCCGAGUUGUAAUUUGAAGAGGAUGCUUUUGGCGAGGCGCCUUCCGAGUGCCCUGGAACGGGACGCCACAGAGGGUGAGAGCCCCGUAUGGUUGGACGCCGAGCCUCUGUAAAGCUCCUUCGACGAGUCGAGUAGUUUGGGAAUGCUGCUCAAAAUGGGAGGUAAACCCCUUCUAAAGCUAAAUACUGGCCAGAGACCGAUAGCGCACAAGUAGAGUGAUCGAAAGAUGAAAAGCACUUUGAAAAGAGAGUUAAAUAGCACGUGAAAUUGUUGAAAGGGAAGCGCUUGCGACCAGACUUGUGCCCGUCGAAUCAGCCGCCGCUCGUCGGCGGCGCACUUCGGCGGGCUCAGGCCAGCAUCAGUUCGCUGCAGGGGGAGAAAGGCGGUGGGAAUGUGGCUCUUCGGAGUGUUAUAGCCCGCCGCGCAAUACCCCUCGGCGGACUGAGGACCGCGCAUCUGCAAGGAUGCUGGCGUAAUGGUCGUCAGCGACCCGUCUUGAAACACGGACCAAGGAGUCGUCCUAAUAUGCGAGUGUUCGGGUGUAAAACCCCUGCGCGUAAUGAAAGUGAACGGAGGUGAGAGCUUCGGCGCAUCAUCGACCGAUCCUGAUGUUCUCGGAUGGAUUUGAGUAAGAGCAUAUUGGGCCGGACCCGAAAGAAGGUGAACUAUGCCUGUAUAGGGUAAAGCCAGAGGAAACUCUGGUGGAGGCUCGCAGCGGUUCUGACGUGCAAAUCGAUCGUCAAAUAUGGGCAUGGGGGCGAAAGACUAAUCGAACCUUCUAGUACCUGGUUUCCGCCCAAUUUCUCACCUCAAGGAAAAAAAAAGGGGCGGUGGGGCGGCUCUGGGCGCG